ensembl:lncRNA
UGACCUAGACUAUAUACAUGAAAGAAAGUCAUACAGGUUUGGAAUGACAUAAGGGGGCCCACCACUCCUUAUCCUGUGCCACCGUCCUGAUGUAAUAUGAGCUGCAUAUGGUCCUGUAACCGCCCACCCCACAAAUGGAAAUUCUAAGCAAGAUUCAUGUUGGCAACUGUAAUAAAACAUAUCUCUUAUUCAUUCACCGAUUCCACGAUAGUUAUGCUACAUUGGCGUUAUUAUAUCAAGGCCCUCACCCCAGUCUCCAAAUGUCUGUUCUAUCUUUGGCAUCUUCAUCGCAGGCACUGCCUCUACUUGCAAAUGUCGUAAAAUGUUCAUCUGUUUCUCAUCUAUGUGAGCAAAUGGCUCUUCUGUGGAUGCAAGCAUGAUGUUUUGGAAACGUCUGCAAAGUACAUGUUUUUCUUAACUUUCCCAUUCGUUUUGUCACAUAAUUGUGCUUCUAGUGACAGACAUUGCACAUAUGUAGAGCAAUUAUGAAAUGUAAACUGCUAUUCAAAGGAUUUCUUUCAAAUUGAGGAUAUUUUGUAGAGUGUUAUGUAUAUUUAAAGGAAAAAUAACUUCAAUACAAAUGUAAUUUGCCUUCAUUACAAUUGUUAACAAUGCUGUUUUGGAAAUAUUAAAUGUGCAUUUUGAUGACAG